CACGUAGGGUGCGAGCGUUGUCCGGAAUUAUUGGGCGUAAAGAGCUCGUAGGCGGUGUGUCACGUCGGCCGUGAAAACCUGCAGCUUAACUGUGGGCGUGCGGUCGAUACGGGCAUCACUGGAGUUCGGCAGGGGAGACUGGAAUUCCUGGUGUAGCGGUGAAAUGCGCAGAUAUCAGGAGGAACACCGGUGGCGAAGGCGGGGUCUCUGGGCCGAUACUGACGCUGAGGAGCGAAAGCGUGGGGGAGCAAACAGG
rnacentral:rRNA from 1 species